AUUGAACGCUGGCGGCAUGCCUUACACAUGCAAGUCGAACGGCAGCACGGGAGCAAUCCUGGUGGCGAGUGGCGAACGGGUGAGUAAUGUAUCGGAACGUGCCCAGUCGUGGGGGAUAACGCAGCGAAAGCUGUGCUAAUACCGCAUACGAUCUAUGGAUGAAAGCGGGGGAUCGCAAGACCUCGCGCGAUUGGGGCGGCCGAUAUCAGAUUAGCUAGUUGGUGGGGUAAAGGCUCACCAAGGCGACGAUCUGUAGCUGGUCUGAGAGGACGACCAGCCACACUGGAACUGAGACACGGUCCAGACUCCUACGGGAGGCAGCAGUGGGGAAUUUUGGACAAUGGGCGCAAGCCUGAUCCAGCAAUGCCGCGUGCAGGAUGAAGGCCUUCGGGUUGUAAACUGCUUUUGUACGGAGCGAAAAGGCUUUCUCUAAUACAGGAGGCUCAUGACGGUACCGUAAGAAUAAGCACCGGCUAACUACGUGCCAGCCGCCGCCGUAAUAC
rnacentral:rRNA from 1 species